GACGAACGCUGGCGGCGUGCUUAACACAUGCAAGUCGAACGGAAAGGCCCUGCUUUUGCGGGGUGCUCGAGUGGCGAACGGGUGAGUAACACGGGAGUAACCUGCCCUUGACUGUGGGAUAACUUCAGGAAACUGGGGCUAAUAACGGAUAGGAGCUCCUGCUGCAUGGUGGGGGUUGGAAAGUUUCGGCGGUUGGGGAUGGACUCGCGGCUUAUCAGCUUGUCGGUGGGGUAGUGGCUUACCAAGGCUUUGACGGGUAGCCGGCCUGAGAGGGUGACCGGCCACAUUGGGACUGAGAUACGGCCCAGACUCCUACGGGAGGCAGCAGUGGGGAAUAUUGCACAAUGGGCGGAAGCCUGAUGCAGCAACGCCGCGUGCGGGAUGACGGCCUUCGGGUUAUAAACCGCUUUCGCCUGUGACGAAGCGUGAGUGACGGUAAUGGGUAAAGAAGCACCGGCUAACUACGUG
rnacentral:rRNA from 1 species